GGUGGUGAGAGGUGAGGGGGUGCCACGGUGACCUCACGGUGUUGGGUUUGGGGUGGCACGGUGUGACGGUGGCUGUGCCCCCAUAGGAACCGUCUUUGUACACGGUCAAAGCUGUCAUCAUCCUGGAUAACGAUGGAGAUCGGCUCUUCGCCAAGUACUACGACGACACGUACCCCAGCGUCAAGGAGCAGAAAGCCUUCGAGAAGAACAUCUU